rnacentral:rRNA from 1 species
CCCUUAGAUGUUCUGGGCCGCACGCGCGCUACACUGAUGCAUUCAACGAGUCUAAAACCUGCUCUGAUAGGGGUGGGUAAUCUUUUGAAUGUGCAUCGUGAUUGGGAUAGAUGAUUGCAAUUUUUCAUCUUCAACGAGGAAUGCCUAGUAAACGCAAGUCAUCAGCUUGCAUUGAUUACGUCCCUGCCCUUUGUACAAACCGCCCGUCGCUCCUACCGAUUGAAUGAUCCGAUGAAUAUCAUGGAUUGAGGAUGCAAGUAGGUUCGCCUAUCUUCAUCUUCGAGAAGUGAAGUAAAUCUUAUCAUUUAGAGGAAGGAGAAGUCGUAACA